UACAGAGGUCCCAAGCGUUGUUCGGAUUUACUGGGCGUAAAGGGUGCGCAGGUGGUCGGGUAAGUCUGACGUGAAAUCCCGCAGCUUAACUGCGGAAUGGCAUUGGAUACUAUUCGGCUAGAGGGUUGGAGGGGGGACUGGAAUUCUCGGUGUAGCAGUGAAAUGCGUAGAUAUCUGGAGGAACACCGGUGGCGAAGGCGACGUCCUGGACCGGCAUUGACGCUGAGGCGCGAAAGCCAGGGGAGCAAACGGG
rnacentral:rRNA from 1 species